GCUUUCUCUUAUGAAACGUGAAGGGCAACGUGUCAUUCUGGGAGAGUCACUGCAAUUUCUCCAAAUAUAAACCUUGCCCCUCUAUGGGUCUUCAUGUGCAAGGUCAGUUGUGUCCAUUGAGCAUGUUUGUAUUUAGAGGGAAGGAAGUUAGGCAGGAGCCACCAAAGAAGUUUGAGAUAAGACCCCUGCCCUGUUCCAGGGCUUAUGCCCAGGACUGUAGGGAGCAAAGGAAACGCUUAAAACACUGGGAACUAUAAGGAAUUGAAUGAAAAGGUUCUUACGGGGUGGGUGGCUGAAAAUGGCUUAUUGAGUGGAGACAUGAAAGUCGGAAUCUGCACAGAUGCAAAAGAAAAGAGAUGGUGUUCUAGAAGGGCCCAGAGCAUGAGAAGGGCAUGAAGUGGCCAUAAUGGUGGUGUGGUGGGAAAGCAGAGAGAUAAGCAUGGGUGGCCAGAAGGGCUGGGGGCUGCAGUGAGGCUGAGAUAUGGCCAGGUGAGGGAAGUUGAAGAAAGUGGUCUUUCACUGUCUCUGUAAAGGGAAACACUCUGAAGUGUGUCUCUACAUGGAAGCAAUCAAUGAGAGCAGAGGAUUAGAAGGUUUGGCCAGGAUGGCUGAGGGAGAGAUGGGGCUCAGAAGGUCAGUUCUGGAGUCACAGUGGUGAAGUAGCUGAGAAGAGAUUGACACUUGGGCCAGGGGUGUGCAGUGGGUCUGACUGGAUGUGAGGGGAGCAAGGCAGCUCCAGCUCUUCUGCAAUAGCUGUUUUGGGGACUUAGUAUGGAACGAGAAGAGAAUAUUGGCUGGGCUGGUUUGGCCAUUGUUGUCCAGUUAAUGCAAAGUGGCUUGCUGCUUGUGAGAAUGACCCAGAGGAUAGUGCUGGGUGAAAUAUGCUUUUGGUGCCUCCUAAUCAACUUGAAGGUGUAGCAUCUGUGGCUGUUUGCUUCUGGUUGUUUGUUUUAUAUAGUAAACGGUGAUGGCCAAGAACUGAAGGUCAGCGCACAUGCCAUGAUUUUGAUUUGGUUCGGUGAGUGAGUUUUUGAUUCUUCAUGGGAAUCCAAUUUGCAGAAAUUUUAAUUGCCAACUCUUUCAUUAGAAAGACUCAUGUGUUUACUUUUUGUUUUUCAGAGCAUGUAACUGAACAAUGAUGACUUCUGAGCACUCGAAAUUGUGAAUGAGGAACUUGCACUAAGCUUUAGCUAUUAUAAGGAGACAUCUUCCUUAAGAAUUUCCUAACCAGAGUCUAAUUACUCUAAAAUACCUCCUUUGUCUUAGUUCACAGAACAGUGGAGGGUUAGAAAGUGUUGGUGUGUGUCAAAAAUCAGCAUGUGUUUGGUGUAUUUAUGUGUGUGUGUGUGUAUGUGUGUAAUGGUGGUGGUGGUCACACUAGCAACAGUGAAAUGAAAUAAUUAAUAAUCAGAGAGAAAAGGACAAGAUAAAAGCCAAAUAACUCAUGAGGGCACUUCUGCAUGGCAUAAUCACUGAGUUUCACAGUGAUCACCUUAAGUUUUGAUGAGACACUUAUGUUAUUUUCUAGAUAUUCUGUUAAGGAGACUAGGAAGGACAUAACACUUUUCAGAAUUAUUUCCAUCUUUAUGAGGGAUAAUGAGCUCAAAUGUCUUCCAAAGCCAGUGAGUGGAUAAUGUUAUUAGUGAAGUAGACCAGGCAUAUAUAAUAAAAGGGGUGGUGUGUCCAAAGACAUGGAAAUCUAGUUUAAAAAAUGCUCUUAUGCCAACAGACACACGUAUGCCAGCUAGAUUCUGCCAGUAGGCUGCCACUGUGAUGUGCCUAGUCUAAGUGGUUAAAUUUAAGUUUAAGGGCUGGAAGCCUUGUGAAAAGUGCUGAAUGAGGAAGAGUUGGCUUCCUAGAAACAGAUAACCUCGCCCUGAAUUAAAAAUAUUUAGCAGAACUUGCCUAGCAGAGAAAAUGUCAAACUUUCUCUUGUCUUCGGUGCAUGAGGCCAGCAAGCAGAUGACUGAACGGAAGCAUAAGUGAGUCAUUUCUUUAAGAAGUCUCUGACUUAGCAGGGGUAUUAACAAUGGGCAUUGAGGAAUUUUCCCUCUCAUUUUCUAGAAUUUCUGUCUUUUUCUGAGCAAACUAGGAAACAAAACUCAAAACAUCUCAAAGGGCCACUGUAAACAUGAUCAUUCCUUUGUCCAGAGAAUCCCUACUUUCUGAAGUCAAUUAAUUAUUCCUUAAUUCAAAUCAACCCAGAGAUUUCAAGGAUAUCCCUGAUUUAAUUCCAUUUGCUUUGGGCAAUUCAGAAUUGCAGGAGAGUUGAAUGUCUCUUAGCAGAUCCUUUGCUGUAUUUGGGGAAUCAAGGCAAUGUCUGCCAGUGGCACUCACAGCUACCCUUCUGGUUUGUUUUCACUGUCACCAGUCCCAAAGUUGUGCUUCUUAUUGGUUUUCAAGUGAGUUUGUUUUCACAAGUCAAUUUGUGUGUGAUGGGAUCAGAUAAGCCCUUCCUACAGGAAAGAACAACAUUCUGAAGUCUGACUUGCUUUUAGAAAUCCUUGGCCCUAACUCAGAGUUGGAGACAUGUUUAUAUUUGGGGCUAAAAAUGACCAACUGAGACUUGGUAAACAAGUGAAUGAACAUGACACUGGACCCAAAGGAGAAGAAUUGAAGCUUUGAUAAAUGGCAACUUGAUUUGGAAAAGAGAUGCCUUUAUUUAAACACCAUCAUAGCCAAGUGGCCUGGGAUGAAGACUUUGCAAUGGGUCUUUGAGCAGACCACAUGAGGUAUGGCUCUGAAUUGCAAAGGAUCCUUUCAUUUGCCACUAAAUCAGUCCUUUAUCAAAACAGCACCAGCCUCUGAAAGAAGGUUUUCAUGUUGAAAAUAGAAUUUACUUGCAAAAAAAAACUGGUUGAAUCUAUUAUAUAACUCAGAAGAAUUUUCCUUUACGUCAACACUGCUGUGUUUGAACUAGCCUUGUGGUCCCUUAAACAUGGAAGGAUUCGACUUAGCUUCAUUCCUUCUUGAUCUUGAAUGCUGAAGAAACCACAGUCUUAUUGGGGUCUCCACAAUGAACAGAAAUCUGCGGUUUCUACCUCUGAAUUCUUCCCCCACCCCCAGUCAGCCAGAGACAAGCAACCCAGCCCUCUCUCACGGAAGUGGACCAAAGGAAGGUGUACAAAAUGCCACUCCUCAUGGGAAAUCCUACUCUGGGGAGGUCUUACCAUGAAAUUGGUACUAUUUCUGUGGAGACAAGGCACUUCAGUGAGAGGAACUUGCAGGGUGGAAGGUGCUUAAUUCUCUCUGCAUCACCUGCUUCUUCCCCAGCCCCAGGGCACUUACCUUCCAUCUUGGGAGCAGGAGGGAAGGGAGCAAGAGCUCCACCUCAGUUGGGUUCCCCCCUUUGGGAAUGCUCCAACAUUUCCAAAGGAAGCAAGCACACCCAUUCCCACCAACUGUGUUGGCUUAAGUUCUGUACUGACCAACCAGGAAGACUGCUAACAGAACAUGGAGGGGUAGAGAGAAAGGUUGGUUAGAGUACAGCUAAAGUUGAACCUCAUAGCUCUGGCCGGGACAUGGGGAUUCAUAUGGGCUGAAGCAAUUGGGUCAGAAUAAAGAACAAAAAUCUGUCCUCAAGAUAACUGGGUACCUGUGCAAAUUUGUCCCAUUUUGGCUGUAAUUUGGGCAGGUCACUGAAACAAGUGCUGGGGGAGAACUCUUAUUCUGGAAUGGUGGGUGACUUUAAACAGUUUGACAUUAUAUCCUAAUGUUUUAGGAACACUUGAACACCCUAGGACCAAGAAAUUCCAAAAGAUACAAACAAGAAUGUUUUUAUCAGCACUUUUUGUAAUAUCCUCAGACUGGGAAUUACCUGAAUAUUCAUUCACAGUCAAAUACAGUCAUGUAAUAAAAUACUAUGCAACAGUGAAAAGGCCAUGAACUACAAUUGCAUGCAGUAACAUACUAUAACACUGACCCUAAGCAACUCCAAUUUAGAAGACCUAGAGUGGCUAUUUGCAUUUUCCAUGUUGAGACAAACUUGGCCUGUUUCGUGGGACUGUCGUGAAGGAUCAAGUGUGACAGUGUGUGGUGAAGAUGCUGCAUAAACUGGACAGAGAUUACUGUUCUGUUACGAUGACAACUCAAAGGUAAGAUCAGAGUCUGCUUGUGGAGCGACUGAAUGAACAGGUAUUGAUUCCUGGUAAACUUCAUGAAGUCUCAAAUUUUGUGUCAGCAUCCGCUUCCUGAGUAUCCAGCUUGCGACUCUGUGACUGAGAUGUCACUGAUGCAGGAUAAGCAGAAGCAGUGUGUGUUGUUCUGGGGCCCAGCCUUCAAAAACCUCCUGGGAAGAUCCUCACGCUUUCUCCGUCAGCUCUCUGGAUACAGACUUCAGUGAUGCCCUAGGGCAUGGUGGAGCCACAAGAUGGAAAUAGCCUACGGAUCAUGAGGAAGGGAGAUGCACCUACCCCUCACUUGAACACCCUUCCAGAACCAUUCAGAGAAUUGGAAAUGAGCUUCUUUUGUACAAAGCCACUGAGUUUGGGGCAUCUACUUGUUACUUUAGUCUGUCCUGACUUGUCUUCUUUUCUCAUUUGCCUCUUCAGAUGCAAAUAGAGGGGGUGGCUAUUGGCCAGGUGUGACUGGAAGCCCACGUGCUCGCUGUGCCUAGACUCAAGCAGGCCAGUGGUUACCACAGAACAAGAGAGAACAAGGCUUGGGGAGGCCUUUCUGUGCAGAGAUCCACAGUCUCUUAAAAUGUGGCUCAAUGCCACCAGAUUUGUCCAUCAAAAGGCAACUGCUUGCUUUUAGGAGCAAGAAUCAUGGGAUAGAGAGAAAGUAAGUUCUUAUUCCACUCCCUGAGUGGAGAGCAGAAUUAAAGGCCUUUUUAUGUGGCUCAAGGUUGGAAUGUAGGAAAAAGAGCAUGAUUCCCCUCACAAUGGAAUCAUCCAAUCCUCUUGUUAUUGUGUAGAGAGGGGUGGAUAGAUAGAGGGUAUAGUCAUGAUAUAAAAAUGGAUGGAUUGUAUACAGAUAAUGGGUAGAUGGAGAUGGUAGACAGGUGAUGGAUGAUAGACAAAUAUAAGUAGAUGAUAUUUAAUACUGGAUAGAGGGCAGGUAGGUAGAGAGGAAAUUGAGGUUCAGAGGCACUAAGGUAUGUUCCCAGGGUCACACAGGUCACACAUUAGUCAUAGAGACAAUUCAACUCUUAUCUCACAGGUGGAAUUCACAACCCAAUUCUGCAUUCUUUCCUCUCCUGAGGAUGGCAAUGAACAUGUUCCAUUUGCACCAUACACAGUCCUAUACAAUGUUUUGCUUACUUUUGUUUUAUUAGGCUUAGAAUUAAUCCACCUGUACUCUAAUUUUAACUUAGGUUUUGUCGUCUUGUAGGGUUUUACAAGAUCUUUUUAUUUUUUCUUUCUUUUUUGAAUGGUGAUGGUGGAGUAGGCAUUUAAAAGCUGCAAUCCCUAAAUUCUUGCAUGUUCAAACAUGAUUUUUUGUUUGAAGGACAACUUGGGCGGUACACAAUUUCUUAGUAACACUUUUGCCUGGAACCCUUGGAAUGGAUUUAUUACAGCAUAUCCAGAGGAGACACCUAAGGUUGAACAAAUUGUGUUGGACAGAGGAGAAACCUUCAGUUCCUGGCUGUUUUAUUUUGACUGUGUAUUGUUGGCAGUGGAGGGUGUUGAAGGUUUGUGUGCAAGGCAGUGGUAAUUAUUGUAGAUGGAUUUGUGAAGGAGGAGACUGGUCACAGAGAGGCCAGAUCAGAGCUACCACAUAAUGGUUAGGUGGCCAAGGCCUGAACUAGGGCAGUGGCAGUGUUAAUAGAUACACUGUGGAUGCAGAACUGUUAGAGUUCAGCAAGGUUAUCAAAGGGACAAGGACAAAGGGGGAGGGGAGCUGCUAAAAAAAAAAACAACGAUGCCUGAGGUUAAACUGAGGGCAAUUAGGAAGAUGGUAUCAUUUAUAGAUCCACAGAAAGAAGGUGGAGGAAGGAAUGGAAAAGGGAAUGGGAAGAGGAAAAGAAGGGAAAGAGGAGAUCCAAGUGAAGACGUUUUGGAGGAGCAGGUAGAAGCCUCAGUGGAGCAGUCCAGAUACAGCUGAAAUCUGGGGCUGGAGUUCAGAGAAGAGGUUAGGGUGAAGGAUAGCGUGAAGGUAGGAGUCUCUAAGUGGGAUAAGUAUGCCCAAUGUAAGUUUCUUUCCAAAGGUAAAUCCUUAGUCAUUUUCUGGAGGGUGUUGUGAAAACAGCCUCUGACAUUCACUUGUUAACCUCAAGUUUCUUCAAGGCAGUGAGAGAAUCGCAACCUCUGCAGAGUGAACAACCCUGGGCUCCUAGACUUUCCUUGAGAUCUCAUUUUCCUUGAGAUCUCAUUUCACAUGUUUUUUUUUUCUUUUUUCUUGAUUAAUAUUUGCUAGAAGUUUAUUGAUUUUUUUCAAGCUAUAAAAAGAAACUUUUCUUGGGUUAAUGACUCAAUUAUACCAUCUUUAUAUUUCCUUACUCGAUUUUGUAUUGAUGCUUUUCUUUCUGUUUUUCUUCGAUACCUGCCUACUCACUUUCAUUGAACUUUUAUUUGUUGAACUCAUUAAUUUUAUCUUUAGUAGUACAAAUAUUUAAAGCUGUAGAUCUCCUCACACAUACUGCUUUCUCCAUAUGCCAGGUGGUCAGAGAUACAGCAUUUUCACUGACAUGAUUUUCUAAUUGGUCAUUAUUAUAGACAACUUUUCUCUUGGCUGAGAAAAACUUGUUAUGUGUACUUUAUUUUAAAAUUCCACAUAUAUCCAUCUUUUUUUUUUUUUAAGAAUAAACAAAGAAGCAGGGGGAAGCAGAUACAGGAAAUAUCUAAAGUUACAUAGCCUUUGUAAGAUUUGAGACCAGAACCCAGGUUGAUUGACUCUGGUCUAAUCAGUGAGAAAAUGUUUUUCUACUUCUAAAGUAAUUGUUCAAGCUUGAAAGUUUCUGGAAAACUCUUCGGUGAAAUGUGAAAUGGAGAAUUGCAACGUUGGGAAGUCAGAUCCUGCCUUGGCUGCUUGAGAGCUUUUUGACCUUGAGCAAGCCUCUAGGUCUCUAGGUCUCUUUGAGUUUCAACAUCAUUACUUGCAAUAUGGAAAAAAUAACAUUAAUUUUAUAUUGUAAAGAUGAAACAUCAAAUUGUUACAUAAAAUGCCUCAUAUACCACAAGUGACCCAUAAAUAUUCAUAUCUGCUCCUUUAAUUAACAUCCCAUGCUUUAAUAUAUAUAUUUAUAUAAUAUAUACAUUAUAUAUAUAAUAUUUAACUCUGCAGAGGUUGCAAUUCUGUCACUGCUUUGAAGAAACUUGAGCUUAAUAAGUGAAUUUCAGAGGCUAUUUUCACAACAUCCUCCAGAAAAUGACUAAGGAUUUGCCUUUGGAAAGAAACUUACAUUGAGCACACUGAUCCCACUUGAAGACUGAAGGUAAUAGACAAAUGGUUUUAAAAAAUUAAAAAGUAAAAGAAUGCAUUAUCUCAGUGCUAACUACUAUUAAUGAAGUAUAAUAAAAUAUUUGAGAACUUA